rnacentral:rRNA from 1 species
UGAGGAAUCUUCCACAAUGGGCGAAAGCCUGAUGGAGCAACGCCGCGUGAAGGAUGAAGGCCCUCGGGUUGUAAACUUCUUUUAUGAGUGAAGAAUAUGACGGUAACUCAUGAAUAAGCACCGGCUAACUACGUGCCAGCAGCCGCGGUCAUACGUAGGGUGCAAGCAUUAUCCGGAGUGACUGGGCGUAAAGAGUUGCGUAGGCGGCUUAAUAAGUGAAUAGUGAAACCUGGUGGCUCAACCAUACAGACUAUUAUUCAAACUGUUAAGCUCGAGAAUGGUAGAGGUAACUGGAAUUUCUUGUGUAGGAGUGAAAUCCGUAGAUAUAAGAAGGAACACCAAUGGCGUAGGCAGGUUACUGGACCAUUUCUGACGCUAAGGCACGAAAGCGUGGGGAGCGAACCGG